rnacentral:misc_RNA from 1 species
CGCAUAUUGCGCCCUUUGGUAUUCCGAAGGGCAUGCCUGUUCGAGCGUCAUUACAACUCUCCAGCUCUGCUUGGUGUUGGGCGGCACCGGAAGGUACGCCUUAAAAUUAGCGAUGGUCCACCAAACCACAGGCGCACAGUCGUCGUCAUGAGGGGCGAGUGGAACAGCAAAUUCCAAAUGUUGACCUCGGAUCAGGUAGGAAUACCCGCUGAACUUAA